GACAGCUUGGAGUUACUGUUGGGAACAGAUCCAUGUAUGGAAGCAAAAGCAGAAAAGCAUAGAUAAGCUGAGAUCCAGCUAUGCAAACCAUCUUUAGAGACACUUAGAGGACAAGUACCCCAGCUCCUUUCUUUCUGGUAAAUUUAGAGACACUAUCAUAUGUGGGCUUUUUUCCAUUCUGCUUUACCCACAACUGCUGAGACUCGGCUGGGAUCAGCUUGCUUUGACACCUGUUUCUAAAAGCAGCAAUGAUGCAUCAAGGCUUAGGCUUCAGUGUGGGAAUAGGGAGCCCACCUAUGAAACAGACCCCUCCCUGUCGUUCCCAUCAUCAGCAAUUGCCAUAUCUCUACACUGGGACAAGGAAGCAAAACCAAGAAAGAGACCAAGCAGAGACCUUGUUCUUCUGCCCUAGAUGCAGCAAUAAACAUUUGGAUUUGCUGCUAGAUUGUUGAGACUGCCAACAUGUACACAGUGAAAGUAAACCCUUCCUGUGGCCACAGACCACAACAUGCUAGUGAUCCAUGGUAUUAUCCUGUUAUUUAGUGAAUCAUUGUCGCUGCUGAGAAACACACAGUCGAGUAAGUUGCUAACAAUAACAGUGGAUGUGAGAGACAAGUGUUUGUUUUACUCUGGUGUAACUUAUUCCACAUGGUCCUUUAAAACAUGUUAAAUGUUAAGUCAUUUUGGCCUGCCAACUAUUAUUUCAAGAUGACCUCCUGGAUUUAGCCUCCUUUUCAGAGCAUAGCUGUUUGAAACAAGGCUCUGGAAACAUCUCCUGCACAGAAUAAAUGCCCAGUUCAGAAGCAAGACAGAUGUUCUCAAUUGCCUUAUCUUUAGCUGGAUUAAGUAGGUCUCCAUUUUUAUUGAUUGUCCAGAAUAGUGAUGUUUACUGAUGAUCUACUGUGACACAUUUCAGAUGU